GUGCUUGCGUGAUUAAUAUGGAAGGCAAGAAGAGGAAAGAGAAAGAGGGGUCUGAAAAGGGCAGAAUUAAGAAGAAGCGACUGCUGGAGCAGCAUGCAUCUAAAUGCUCAAAACAGAUUUAUCCGUAGCCAAGUCCACGGCCAUCAACGAGUGCAGAUAAAGAGAUCACCAAGAUCAGCGGAGUCCUUCCCUUGCUGGAGCCAGGAGAUGAUGUCAUGGCAGACAAAGGGUUCCUCAUUCAGGACCUCCUUGCUGGCGUUGGAGCACUUCACUGUAUAUUUCUAUUGUUCUUGUUUUAUUAUUUUGAUUAUUGUUGUUUUGUAACUCAUGGC